GACGAACGCUGGCGGCGUGCUUAACACAUUCAAGUCGAACGGAAAGGCCCUGCUUUUGUGGGGUGCUCGAGUGGCGAACGGGUUAGUAACACGUGAGUAACCUGCCCUUGACUUUGGGAUAACUUCAGGAAACUGUGGCUAAUACCGGAUAGGAGCUCCUGCUGCAUGGUGGGUGUUGUAAAGUUUAGUCGGUUGGGGAUGGACUCGCGACUUAUCAGCUUGUUGGUGGGGUAGUGGCUUACCAAGGCUUUGACGGGUAGCCGGCCUGAGAGGGCGACCGGCCAGAUGGGGAAUGAGAUACGGCCCAGACUCCUAAGGGAGGCAGCAGUGGGGAAUAGUGCACAAUGGGCGGAAGAAUGAAGCAGCAACGACGCGUGCGGGAUGAAGGCCUUCGGGUUGUAAACCGCUUUCGCCUGUGACGAAGCGUGAGUGAAGGUAAUGGGUAAAGAAGCAACGGCUAACUACGUG
rnacentral:rRNA from 1 species